GAUGAAGAACGCAGCGAAAUGCGAUAAGUAAUGUGAAUUGCAGAAUUCAGUGAAUCAUCGAAUCUUUCAACGCACAUUGCGCCCGCCAGUAUUCUGGCGGGCAUGCCUGUUCGAGCGUCAUUACAACCCUCAGGCCCCCGGGCCUGGCGUUGGGGAUCGGCGGAAGCCCCCUGCGGGCACAACGCCGUCCCCCAAAUACAGUGGCGGUCCCGCCGCAGCUUCCAUUGCGUAGUAGCUAACACCUCGCAACUGGAGAGCGGCGCGGCCACGCCGUAAAACACCCAACUUCUGAAUGUUGACCUCGAAUCAGGUAGGAAUACCCGCUGAACUUAAGCAUAUCAAUAAGCGGAGGA
rnacentral:misc_RNA from 1 species